GACGACAUACCGGAAAGAGGUUAUCUACCUGUGGAGGCCAAAUCAGAAGACCACGGAGAAGCUAUGCUUAAAGGUCUUCUAGUGUUUACUAAGCCAUUCCAGUGGAAGAUAGCAGGCUUUAUUUAAAGCGAGGAUUUCUCCCGUCUGCUUUUGGAGUCCCUCCACGGAGUGUCCAGUUGGCAGCCUUUCAAUAGCAGAGACCUUGACGUGCAGGACCCAUCGAGCCCUGCUAUCUUACUGCAGACCUAUGGGUAGACUUCGUAACAGGAAAGAAGAUGUUCUUGGCACCCAGGAGAAGACAAGACGGGAAAUUUAGGAACAACAGAAGUUGUAACAGAGAGUCAAGCAGCCAGCAGAGCAGCCAGCAGAGCAGCCACGACGAUGAUUCCAGCAGGUUCCUGAGU
rnacentral:lncRNA from 1 species